rnacentral:rRNA from 1 species
CAGGACGAACGCUGGCGGCGUGCCUAAUACAUGCAAGUUGAACGCACUGACGUCGACAGAAGGUGCUUGCACUGGAAGUUGAUUGACGUGAGUGGCGGACGGGUGAGUAACACGUGGGUAACCUGCCCUUAAGCGGGGGAUAACAUUUGGAAACAGAUGCUAAUACCGCAUAAGAGUUGAGAUCACAUGGUCUUAAUUUGAAAGACGGCCUUUGGCUGUCACUUAAGGAUGGACCCGCGGCGUAUUAGCUAGUUGGUGAGAUAAUAGCCCACCAAGGCGAUGAUACGUAGCCGACCUGAGAGGGUAAUCGGCCACAUUGGGACUGAGACACGGCCCAAACUCCUACGGGAGGCAGCAGUAGGGAAUCUUCCACAAUGGACGAAAGUCUGAUGGAGCAACGCCGCGUGAGUGAAGAAGGUUUUCGGAUCGUAAAACUCUGUUGUUGGAGAAGAACAGGGACUAGAGUAACUGUUAGUCCUUUGACGGUAUCCAACCAGAAAGCCACGGCUAACUACGUGCCAGCAGCCGCGGUAAUACGUAGGUGGCAAGCGUUGUCCGGAUUUAUUGGGCGUAAAGCGAGCGCAGGCGGUUUCUUAAGUCUGAUGUGAAAGCCUUCGGCUUAACCGAAGAAGUGCAUCAGAUACUGGGAAACUUGAGUGCAGAAGAGGGAAGUGGAACUCCAUGUGUAGCGGUGAAAUGCGUAGAUAUAUGGAAGAACACCAGUGGCGAAGGCGGCUUUCUGGUCUGUAACUGACGCUGAGGCUCGAAAGUAUGGGGAGCGAACAGGAUUAGAUACCCUGGUAGUCCAUACCGUAAACGAUGAAUGCUAAGUGUUGGAGGGUUUCCGCCCUUCAGUGCUGCAGCUAACGCAUUAAGCAUUCCGCCUGGGGAGUACGACCGCAAGGUUGAAACUCAAAGGAAUUGACGGGGGCCCGCACAAGCGGUGGAGCAUGUGGUUUAAUUCGAAGCUACGCGAAGAACCUUACCAGGUCUUGACAUCUAGCGCCAAUCCUAGAGAUAGGACGUUCCCUUCGGGGACGCUAAGACAGGUGGUGCAUGGUUGUCGUCAGCUCGUGUCGUGAGAUGUUGGGUUAAGUCCCGCAACGAGCGCAACCCUUAUGAUUAGUUGCCAGCAUUUAGUUGGGCACUCUAAUCAGACUGCCGGUGACAAACCGGAGGAAGGUGGGGAUGACG